CGCAUGUGCCGGGCUCUGAUGCGCAGGAUAGGUGGGAGGCGUUGAUUGAGUGCUUGUGGGUGCUCUGGAGCCAAUGGUGAGAUACCACUCUUUCAGAGCUAGGGUUCUAACGUUCACCCGUUAUCCGGGGAGCGGACAGUAUCAGGUGGGCAGUUUGACUGGGGCGGUCGCCUCCUAAAAGGUAACGGAAGCGCGCAAAGGUUUGCUCAGGCUGGUUGGAAAUCCACCGACGAGUGCAAAAGCAAAAACAAGCUUGACUUGGAGACCUACAAGUCCAACAGGGACCAAAGUCCGCUUUAAUGAUCCCACCGUUCUGAGUGGAAAGGCCCUCCCUCAACGGAUAAAAGUUACUCUUGGGAAAAAAGGGUGAAA
rnacentral:rRNA from 1 species